GAAAACAAUCUUUGGGUAAUUGGGAUUUGAGAAGAAUGGUGUAGCUUUCUGGAUCUUGUGCCAUUGUGGACAAGCGUUGCCAUGGGAAAGACUGUUUGGUCAACCCCAUCUGCAAGCAGUAAUUACUGGCCUUUCCCAUACAACACACCACACACCUGCAAGGAUGUGAAGAAAAAAAUACAUAAUUAAAGAAUUUUU